CUCCUACGGGGGGCAGCAGUGGGGAAUAUUGCACAAUGGGGGAAACCCUGAUGCAGCGACGCCGCGUGAGUGAAGAAGUAUCUCGGUACGUAAAGCUCUAUCAGCAGGGAAGAAAAUGACGGUACCUGACUAAGAAGCCCCGGCUAACUACGUGCCAGCAGCCGCGGUAAUACGUAGGGGGCAAGCGUUAUCCGGAUUUACUGGGUGUAAAGGGAGCGUAGGCGGCAGUGCAAGUCAGAAGUGAAAGCCUAAGGCUCAACCAUGGGACUGCUUUUGAAACUGUACAGCUAGAUUGCAGGAGAGGG
rnacentral:rRNA from 1 species